rnacentral:rRNA from 1 species
UACGUAGGGUGCGAGCGUUGUCCGGAAUUAUUGGGCGUAAAGGGCUCGUAGGCGGUCUGUCACGUCGGGAGUGAAAACACGGGGCUUAACCCCGUGCCUGCUUCCGAUACGGGCAGACUAGAGGUAUGCAGGGGAGAACGGAAUUCCUGGUGUAGCGGUGAAAUGCGCAGAUAUCAGGAGGAACACCGGUGGCGAAGGCGGUUCUCUGGGCAUUACCUGACGCUGAGGAGCGAAAGCGUGGGGAGCAAACAGG